rnacentral:rRNA from 1 species
AGAGUUUGAUCAUGGCUCAGGAUGAACGCUGGCGGCGUGCUUAACACAUGCAAGUCGAACGAUGAAGCCUAGCUUGCUAGGUGGAUUAGUGGCGAACGGGUGAGUAACACGUGAGCAACCUGCCCUAGGCUUUGGGAUAACCCCGGGAAACCGGGGCUAAUACCGAAUAGGACUGCUGGUCGCAUGACUGGUGGUGGAAAGUUUUUCGGCCUGGGAUGGGCUCGCGGCCUAUCAGCUUGUUGGUGGGGUGAUGGCCUACCAAGGCGACGACGGGUAGCCGGCCUGAGAGGGCGACCGGCCACACUGGGACUGAGACACGGCCCAGACUCCUACGGGAGGCAGCAGUGGGGAAUAUUGCACAAUGGGCGGAAGCCUGAUGCAGCGACGCCGCGUGAGGGAUGACGGCCUUCGGGUUGUAAACCUCUUUCAGCAGGGACGAAGCGUGAGUGACGGUACCUGCAGAAGAAGCGCCGGCCAACUACGUGCCAGCAGCCGCGGUAAGACGUAGGGCGCGAGCGUUGUCCGGAUUUAUUGGGCGUAAAGAGCUCGUAGGCGGCUUGUCGCGUCGACCGUGAAAACUUGGGGCUCAACCCCAAGCCUGCGGUCGAUACGGGCAGGCUAGAGUUCGGUAGGGGAGACUGGAAUUCCUGGUGUAGCGGUGAAAUGCGCAGAUAUCAGGAGGAACACCGGUGGCGAAGGCGGGUCUCUGGGCCGAUACUGACGCUGAGGAGCGAAAGCGUGGGGAGCGAACAGGAUUAGAUACCCUGGUAGUCCACGCUGUAAACGUUGGGCGCUAGGUGUGGGGGGCCUCUCCGGUUCCCUGUGCCGCAGCUAACGCA